rnacentral:tRNA from 1 species
GGAGCAGUGCCGUAAAGGUAGCGGAGAAGAUUGCUAAUCUUUCCAUCUUGUAAUGAGGUGUGCAGGUUCGAUUCCUGCCUGCUCCGCCA